rnacentral:tRNA from 1 species
GGAGAUUUAGCUCAGAGGUAGAGCGCUUGCCUAGCAAGCGCAAGGCCCUGGGUUCGGUCCCCAGCUCUG